rnacentral:snoRNA from 1 species
AGCCCCUCGGUGUUUAUCACAUUCUCACACUGAUGGGCAGAAAGAGGUGGGAGAGGAAACUGAGCCCAUAUACACCCUGGCCCAGACCCUGUGUCUGCUCCAUAUUAUGAAUGAAGAGAUGUGG